rnacentral:rRNA from 1 species
GAUCUGGCUCAGGAUGAACGCUGGCGGCGUGCUUAACACAUGCAAGUCGAGCGAUGAAGUUUCCUUCGGGAAACGGAUUAGCGGCGGACGGGUGAGUAACACGUGGGUAACCUGCCUCAUAGAGUGGAAUAGCCUUCCGAAAGGAAGAUUAAUACCGCAUAACGUUGAAAGAUGGCAUCAUCAUUCAACCAAAGGAGCAAUCCGCUAUGAGAUGGACCCGCGGCGCAUUAG